GAUGAAGAACGUAGCGAAAUGCGAUAAGUAGUGUGAAUUGCAGAAUUCAGUGAAUCAUCGAAUCUUUGAACGCACAUUGCGCCCCUUGGUAUCCCGAGGGGCAUGCCUGUUCGAGCGUCAUUUCACCACUCAAGCCUGGCUUGGUGUUGGGCGACGUCCUCUUUGGGGACGCGCCUCGAAACGCUCGGCGGCGUGGCACCGGCUUUAAGCGUAGCAGAAUCUUUCGCUUUGGAAGUCGGGGCUCCGUCUGCCGGAAGACCUGCUCGCAAGGUUGACCUCGGAUCAGGCAGGGAUACCCGCUGAACUUAAGCAUAUCAAUAAGCGGAGGA
rnacentral:misc_RNA from 1 species